UUGAAAAAAAAAGUCGUAACAAGGUCUCCGUUGGUGAACCAGCGGAGGGAUCAUUACCGAGUUUACAACUCCCAAACCCAAUGUGAACGUUACCAAACUGUUGCCUCGGCGGGAUCUCUGCCCCGGGUGCGUCGCAGCCCCGGACCAAGGCGCCCGCCGGAGGACCAACCAAAACUCUUAUUGUAUACCCCCUCGCGGGUUUUUUACUAUCUGAGCCAUCUCGGCGCCCCUCGUGGGCGUUUCGAAAAUGAAUCAAAACUUUCAACAACGGAUCUCUUGGUUCUGGCAUCGAUGAAGAACGCAGCGAAAUGCGAUAAGUAAUGUGAAUUGCAGAAUUCAGUGAAUCAUCGAAUCUUUGAACGCACAUUGCGCCCGCCAGUAUUCUGGCGGGCAUGCCUGUCCGAGCGUCAUUUCAACCCUCGAACCCCUCCGGGGGGUCGGCGUUGGGGAUCGGCCCUUUACGGGGCCGGCCCCGAAAUACAGUGGCGGUCUCGCCGCAGCCUCUCCUGCGCAGUAGUUUGCACACUCGCAUCGGGAGCGCGGCGCGUCCACAGCCGUUAAACACCCCAAACUUCUGAAAUGUUGACCUCGGAUCAGGUAGGAAUACCCGCUGAACUUAAGCAUAUCAAAA
rnacentral:rRNA from 1 species